rnacentral:rRNA from 1 species
GGGGGGGGGGGGGGGGGGGGGGGGGGGGGGGGGGGGGGGGGGGGGGGGGGGGGGGGGGGGGGGUGGGGGGGGGGCGGGCGGGGGAGUAACGGGGGGGGGACGUGCGCGGGACUGGGGGAUAGCUUCCGGAAACUGGGGCUAAGACGGGAUCGGGGCGCCGGCUGCAGGGGGGGGGUUGGAAGGGUUCGGCGGUUGGGGCUGGUAUGGCGGCUGAUCCGCGUGUGGGUGGGGUAGUGGCUUACCAAGGCUUUGGCGGGUAGCCGGCCUGAGCGGGUGACCGGGCACGUUGGGACUGAGAUACGGCCCAGACUCCUACGGGAGGCAGCAGUGGGGAAUAUUGCACAAUGGGCGGAAGCCUGAUGCAGCAACGCCGCGUGCGGGAUGACGGCCUUCGGGUUGUAAACAGCUUUCGCCUGUGACGAAGCGUGAGUGACGGUAAUGGGUAAAGAAGCACCGGCUAACUACGUG